CAGUCGCCGCGGGAAUACGGAGGGUGCAAGCGUUAAUCGGAAUUACUGGGCGUAAAGCGUGCGUAGGCGGUGAGUUAAGUCUGCUGUGAAAUCCCCGGGCUCAACCUGGGAAUGGCAGUGGAUACUGGCUCGCUAGAGUGUGUCAGAGGAUGGUGGAAUUCCCGGUGUAGCGGUGAAAUGCGUGGAGAUCGGGAGGAACAUCAGUGGCGAAGGCGGCCAUCUGGGACAACACUGACGCUGAGGCACGAAAACGUGGGGAGCAAACAGGAUUAGAUACCCGCGUAGUCCCUGUCUCUUAUAC
rnacentral:rRNA from 1 species